GAUGCGGGGAAUUUACAGUUUCUCUUUCCACCGCCCACGACUACACAAAAUCAGUCACACUGACGCUGAGGGUGGGGAACGGGAAGAGGGUGGGGAGGUUAUUUGGAGGCCAGCGGGGGGUGAGGGGUGGCUGAUGCAAUGACCAGCUAAUGGCUCGAUUCUCAAGAGGGUUUCAUUGGUCUCAACCUGGCCCCCCAGGCAACCCACCCCUGAUUGGACAGUCUCAUCAAGAAGAAGGGAAACUGAAAGAAAGAGGGGAAGAGUAUUAAAGACCAUUUCUGGCUGGGCAGGGCACUCUCAGCAGCUCAACUGCCCAGCGUGACCAGUGGCCACCUCUGCAGUGUCUUCCACAACCUGGUCUUGACUCGUCUGCUGAACAAAUCCUCUGACCUCAGGCCGGCUGUGAACGUAGUUCCUGAGAGAUAGCAAACAUGCCCAACAGUGAGCCCGCAUCUCUGCUGGAGCUGUUCAACAGCAUCGCCACACAAGGGGAGCUCGUAAGGUCCCUCAAAGCGGGAAAUGCGUCAAAG
rnacentral:lncRNA from 1 species